rnacentral:misc_RNA from 1 species
GAUGAAGAACGUAGCGAAAUGCGAUAAGUAAUGCGAAUUGCAGAAUUUCCGUGAGUCAUCGAAUCUUUGAACGCACAUUGCGCCCACUGGUAUUCCGGUGGGCAUGCCUGUUCGAGCGUCAUUAUCCCCCCUCAAACCCCGUGUUUGGUGUUAGACCCAAGUUGUGUGAACAACUGGUCUCAAAGACAAUGACGGCGUCCGUGGGACCCUCGGUGCAACGAGCUUUUAGGAGCACGCGCUGAGCUUCAAGGACCCUCCGGGCCGGUCUCCUAUUUAUUAUCAAGGUUGACCUCGGAUCAGGUAGGAAUACCCGCUGAACUUAAGCAUAUCAAUAAGCGGAGGA